CGUGUAGGCGGUUUCUUUAGUCUGAUGUGAAAGCCCCGGGCUCAACCUGGGAAGUGCAUUGGAUACUGGGAGACUUGAGUACGGGAGAGGGUAGUGGAAUUCCGAGUGUAGGAGUGAAAUCCGUAGAUAUUCGGAGGAACACCGGUGGCGAAGGCGGCUACCUGGACCGAUACUGACGCUGAGACGCGAAAGCGUGGGGAGCAAACA
rnacentral:rRNA from 1 species